UGGGGAAUUUUGGACAAUGGGGGCAACCCUGAUCCAGCAAUGCCGCGUGCAGGAAGAAGGCCUUCGGGUUGUAAACUGCUUUUGUACGGAACGAAAAGGCUCUGGUUAAUACCUGGGGCACAUGACGGUACCGUAAGAAUAAGCACCGGCUAACUACGUGCCAGCAGCCGCGGUAAUACGUAGGGUGCAAGCGUUAAUCGGAAUUACUGGGCGUAAAGCGUGCGCAGGCGGUGCUGUAAGACAGGCGUGAAAUCCCCGGGCUCAACCUGGGAAUUGCGCUUGUGACUGCAGUGCUGGAGUGCGGCAGAGGGGGAUGGAAUUCCGCGUGUAGCAGUGAAAUGCGUAGAUAUGCGGAGGAACACCGAUGGCGAAGGCAAUCCCCUGGGCCUGCACUGACGCUCAUGCACGAAAGCGUGGGGAGCAAACA
rnacentral:rRNA from 1 species